GGGUUUCCGUCCAAGCCAAAGGGAGAGAGAGAGUUGCGAGAGAGAGAGGGUUGCAAGAGAGAAGAGAGUGUGGCCGAGAGAGGAGAAGCCGAGAGGGAGAGGAAGGAGUCGCCGUCCGUCCGCCGUGUUCGCCGCCAUGUGCCGUCGUUUUCUUCGGUCUAGAGGCAAGUGGGAGUCCUCUAGCUUCUUUUGCAUAUUUGUAUGUUGCUUGUAUGUUGAAUUUUUGGGUGUUUAAGUGAGAAAAACCAAGGUAUGGUUGGCUUAUUCUUGAAUCGCAUGACUGUUCUUGCUCGGACCGUGUGAGUCAGAAACUUGUUUGGGCUUGCAUGUGUGUUUAGAGUCAGAUUUUGGCUUUGAUUUAUUCAUGAAAGUUGUAGCUAACAUCUUUUAAUACAACAUACUAAAAUAUCGUGGAAAAUUAUGGAGAUUUAAGGGGUUAAAAUCUCAUCCUACGGAGACCUCAGAUCUGGAACGAUUUCGCUGACCUUGUGGUAGAUUUGUGCUUGUAUGUUGAUUUUUACUAAGAAUCUCUCUUCUAUUUCUUCAUGAAAGUUGUAGGGGACAUCUUAAAAUACAACAUACUAAAAUUUGAAGCAAAAUGAACAAGUAUAACCUAGUAAAUCGACUAGAUCUUGAAGACGGUAAUUCUGGAGAUGUAUUACAGGACACCCGAGAUUUUAUGGACCUAAAUGACGACUAUACUCUGGAUAUUUGACUUAGAUCUCUUCAUGAAAAUUGUAGAAAAUAUCUUAAUGUAGAACAUAUCCAAAUUUAAGAGGAAACGAAGAAGAAUAGGUAGGUCAAAACUCAGUAUUUCAAAGAAGUAUGCACUGGACGAUUCGGUGAUGGAUCCAGAAGCUUCGUGAGACUGUAGAAACUAAUCUAGAAAGAAUCUGGCUUGGAGGUCUUCAUGAAAGAUAUACAAAAAUGUCUUGGCUAUAACUUGGUGAAAUUUCAUAAUUUUCGGAGGUCAUAUGGAUAUUUUAAUCGAAUUAUUUCCGAAACUGUGCAUUCUGCUUCUAUCCGAAUUUACAUACUGUUUUGUGAGAAUUGUACCUUCUUGUGUGGAAUUCGAUUGGGCAUGUAUCUUUCAUGAGAUUGCUAUCUUAUUGACUUGUCUACCACUAGCCUUAAUUUCACGAUUCUUGAGAAUCAUAUGAAUAUUUAAAUAUUUUCUGAAAGUGGUAUUUGCUGGAAUUUUGUAUGGAUUGGAUGAUGAUGUAUUGAUGCAUGCAUGACUAUGAGUUGAGAUGCAUGUAUGAAUUGAAUGCUGCAUAUGAUCUUGUUGGUCAUUAUAUUGUGUGCCAUGAUGAGUUGAGAACUAAAUUGGUGACCAUGGAUAAUGAUGAAUGAGGAAGCCGUUUGUGGCGGAUGAUUAUUCCCCGGGAGUGUCGGGAUGCCCGGUGGUAUACGGUACGUAAUUCCAGGAGAGGCCUGGUGGUAUGUCAGUACAUAAUUCCGGAGGGCAGGGGAAACCAUUUUCAUGGCGAGCCCCGGAGAUUCCCCGGGAGUGUCGGGAUGCCCGGUGGUAUACAGUAUGUAAUUCCAGGGGAGGCCUGGUGGUAUGUCGGUACAUAAUUCCGGAAGCCUUGGAGGUUUGUGCCUAGGGGGAUACCUCGCGAUGCUAGAUGGGAUGCGAGAUGCCUGGCUAGAAGGGUAAAGGCCGGAUGCCCGGUGGCCUAGUGGCAUAAUUCCGGAGGGUCCUCGCGAUGCUAGUUGGGAUGCGAGAUGCCCAGAGCGUGGGGGUUCCGGAUGCCCAGUUGUAUCUUGGAUACAUGCCCGGAUGGUUCUCGCGAUGCCAGGAUUGGGCGCGAGUGAUGAAUGUGGGAUGCAAACAUUGAUCCCGGGAAAGAGAAAUGUGGCGGUCCAAAAUGAAAUUGAAAUUGAAUUAUGCAUGAUGAUAUUUAUGAUAUGAUGAUGAUAUAUGUUAUGACAUGAUGACAUGCAUAUAUGUUGCGAUAUGAUGAUGUCAUGAUGAUGAUGACAUGUGUGAGAUGAUGAUGACACGAUGAUGAUGACAUGUGUGAGAUGAUGAUGACACGAUGAUGAUGACAUGUGUAUGGCAUGAUGGUGUCAUGUAUAUGAUGAUGAUGAUGCUACGAUGAUGAUGACAUGUGUAUGGUAUGAUGGUGUCAUGUAUAUGAUGAUGAUGACAUGUGUGAUAUGAUGAUGUCAUGAUGAUGAUGACAUGUGUGUGAUAUAAUAAUGUCAUGAUGACAAUGGUAUGAAUAUGACAUGAUGAUACACAUGUACGUGUUAUGAUUAUGGUGAUGAUGCAUGAUAGUAUAUGCAUGGCUUCAAGGUAAGUAAUGCCUGCAAUGCAUGUAUGACUUAUAUGAUGCAUUGAGUGGUUAUUGGAUUCCUUUAACUGCUGAGUGGUUGUACUCACCCCUUUUGGGGACCAACAUUUCAGAUUAGUAGAUGGAUCGAGUGAUUGGAUAUGACCGUGAGGAGGAGGAUAGCAAAGGAAGGAGCUUUUAGACGCCGACACUGAUCGAUGGACUUUAACUAUACGACUGUUGGAGGAGAUGUCGGUCAUCUUUUGAAGUAUAGCCAUGUAUAGGAAACUAUGGCAUUUCGAUGUACCGACUAGAAAUGUCCAUCUGCUUUAUGUAAAUAAAAGUGUACGGCUUUAACUUUUAUAAAAUGUUUAGUUGGUGUGCAUCGUUUUCCAAAUAUAGGGAAGGGAGUUUGUUGGAUGUGCUUCUGUAUAUGGAUUGCGCAAGGGACCUAUCAAAAACAAAAAAAUGUAAACCC
rnacentral:lncRNA from 1 species